rnacentral:misc_RNA from 1 species
AUUAAAUAUUGAAUACUAAAAAUUGGACAACUAAGUCCAUAUAAGUAGUGCCUGUGACUACACAAAGUGGGUUUGCCUAAAGUGUACAAUUCAGUCCACAAAACCUACAUAUAAAUAGCCUUCACAAAUUUACAAUUCCAUGGUGAUAAGUUCACAAAAAUGUGUAUGCGUGCACAAGUUCAUCCAAUCCCUAAAUUAUGGUAUAUGGCAGAAAUCUGUCGAUUUACUUGACCGUAGGCUUUGCUCUACAAAACUUGUAUUUCAACAUUUCCUCCAAAUGUUUGAUAAUUGAUGAGAAUACUCCUGAAACUGAGCUGUCUUUCUGUUGCAAUGAUCCUUUCACCAAAAGGGUGCCAGGGAUUUGCUGAAAUACCGAAAUGCGAAAACACAAGUUAUUUUGAGGAGUGUGCAAAUUUGAACUGUUGGAUUCCUCAUCAAUAGGACUGCAAUUGGCAGUUUCACCACAAAGUUUUCCUUCAUCCUUUAGUAUUACAUAGCAUUGUUCAUUUGAUGCAGUAAUAUCAACAUCAAAUGAUGAGGCAUUCAAUUUACAGGAUGCGCCACUGGUGUGAAAAAA